AGUGAACGCUGGCGGUAGGCCUAACACAUGCAAGUCGAACGGCAGCACAGAGGAGCCUGCUCCUUGGGUGGCGAGUGGCGGACGGGUGAGGAAUACAUCGGAAUCUACUCUGUCGUGGGGGAUAACGUAGGGAAACUUACGCUAAUACCGCAUACGACCUACGGGUGACAGCAGGGGACCUUCGGGCCUUGCCCGAUUGAAUGAGCCGAGGUCGGAUUAGCUAGUUGGCGGGGUAAAGGCCCACCAAGGCGACGAUCCGUAGCUGGUCUGCGAGAAUGAUCAGCCACACUGGAACUGAGACACGGUCCAGACUCCUACGGGAGGCAGCAGUGGGGAAUAUUGGACAAUGGGCGCAAGCCUGAUCCAGCCAUACCGCGUGGGUGAAGAUGGCCUUCGGGUUGUAAAGCCCUUUUGUUGGGAAAGAAAUCCAGCUGGCUAAUACCCGGUUGGGAUGACGGUACCCGGAGAAGAAGCCCCGGCUAACUUCGUGCCAGCCGCCGCGGUAA
rnacentral:rRNA from 1 species